rnacentral:rRNA from 1 species
UACAGAGGGUGCUAGCGUUGUUCGGAAUCAUUGGGCGUAAAGGGCGUGUAGGCGGUUUGUUAAGUCAUGUGUGAAAUCCCUCGGCUCAACCGGGGAACGACGCAUGAAACUGGCAAGCUAGAGUACCAAAGAGGGGGGUGGAAUUCCCGGUGUAGCGGUGAAAUGCGUAGAUAUCUGGAGGAACACCGGUGGCGAAGGCGGUUCUCUGGGACGGUACUGACGCUGAGACGCGAAAGCGUGGGGAGCGAACAGG